rnacentral:sRNA from 1 species
UUUUUUUUUGCCAUCCGAUUAAAAUUAGGACUCAAACGAGCCAAAACUGAGGAAUGUUGUUUACAUAAGUUAUAUGAAGCGGUUCAGUGCGAACUUUUCGCGCUAAGUUAUCCGCUUUUACAUUUGCAUUACGAGAAAUUAAGGAUAAAGAAAAGUAUGUGAAUUCUUCCCUGUCGCUCUGUAGUUCCUCCAAAUAAGCUGAGAACGUCGGCCAUUCGGUUGGAGAAGACACCAUCUUCACCAGAUCUGAACAGUCCGUAAAAAAUGCUACAUCUUGGCUGUCGGCACCAAUCAUACACUUCAUCGCCCAUAGUAGAGCUUCGACUUCGGUAUGUAAUGGAGAUAGACUUCUUCGUAGAUUAGCAGCUCCCAUGGUUGGUGGCUC